UGACCUAUGGAUUGACAGCCAGU
rnacentral:miRNA from 1 species